rnacentral:rRNA from 1 species
UUUGAUCAUGGCUCAGAACGAACGCUGGCGGCAGGCUAACACAUGCAAGUCGAGCGAACCCUUCGGGGUUAGCGGCGGACGGGUUAGUAACGCGUGGGAAUAUACCCUUUGGUACGGAAUAGCCUCGGGAAACUGAGAGUAAUACCGUAUGUGCCCUUCGGGGGAAAGAUUUAUCGCCAAAGGAUUAGCCCGCGUUGGAUUAGAUAGUUGGUGGGGUAAUGGCCUACCAAGUCUACGAUCCAUAGCUGGUUUGAGAGGAUGAUCAGCAACACUGGGACUGAGACACGGCCCAGACUCCUACGGGAGGCAGCAGUGGGGAAUCUUAGACAAUGGGCGCAAGCCUGAUCUAGCCAUGCCGCGUGGACGAUGAAGGCCUUAGGGUUGUAAAGUCCUUUCAGAUGGGAAGAUAAUGACGGUACCAUCAGAAGAAGCCCCGGCUAACUCCGUG